rnacentral:rRNA from 1 species
UACAGAGGGGGCAAGCGUUGUUCGGAAUUACUGGGCGUAAAGGGCGCGUAGGCGGCCUGCUAAGUCGAACGUGAAAUCCCCGGGCUCAACCCGGGAACUGCGUCCGAUACUGACAGGCUCGAAUCCGGGAGAGGGAUGUGGAAUUCCAGGUGUAGCGGUGAAAUGCGUAGAUAUCUGGAGGAACACCGGUGGCGAAGGCGGCAUCCUGGACCGGUAUUGACGCUGAGGAGCGAAAGCCAGGGGAGCAAACGGG